ensembl:lncRNA
UGAAGUUUAACCUGUGACGUAGAGGAGCUCGUUACCAUGGAGCCUGGCGACAGACGAAGGGGUUCCCCUCUAUGGCAGCACUUUGAGCUGAUCUCUCCCAGUAAGAUCCUUUGACAAGUCUUUUGCUGCCCCCAUGACUCGGGACCGAACAACGUCGGUGCAGCACUGGACCUGCAGCGUCAGUCUGAAGGCCUGAAACUCCUCCCACGCUGAUCACAGAUGUUUCUCAGCUGCUGCUGUGCACCUCCCAGCUUCAACUCCCUGCACUGGUUUUCUAUGACUGAGGUCUGGAGACUGAUCCACGACUCAUGUUCAGUGUUCUAGCUGAGAGAACAAGGUUCUUGUCUCAGGUUUCACACUGCAUGUUCCUGUCCACUGACCUCUCAGUGCGUGAUGCUGACCUGCACCCUAAACAGAACGACAGCCAAGAGCAUCAUGUUACCUCCUCCCUGCCUGACUGUGGGGACACUGCUCUGUGGGUCACAUCAGCAUUUCUCGAGUUGAUGUCAGAGAUCUUGAUU